UACGAAGGGGGCUAGCGUUGUUCGGAAUUACUGGGCGUAAAGCGCGCGUAGGCGGACAUUUAAGUCAGGGGUGAAAUGCCGGGGCUCAACCUCGGAACUGCCUUUGAUACUGGAUGUCUGGAGUUGGGGAGAGGUGAGUGGAAUUCCGAGUGUAGAGGUGAAAUUCGUAGAUAUCAGGAGGAACACCAAUGGCGAAGGCAGCUCGCUGGGACGGUACUGACACUGAGACGCGAAAGCGUGGGGAGCAAACAGG
rnacentral:rRNA from 1 species